CUUCCCCCUCUCCCAGAGCCUCAGCGAGCUGCGUCCAGGAGCUCCUGCCGCUUGGCUCGCCAGAGCUCGCAGCCCCACCUCCUUACCACGUGGCUCCGAGUAGGAGGACCUCAGGCCCUGCCUGAGCCAUGCCACUGCAGCGCUGUCCAGGGCUGCUCCUGGACGUGGUGCACUGAGGCGCUGGGGGAUGGGGGAAGGUGAAGGCAGAGGCAGGGGGGAGCCUCCGACAUUCUCGUGGGGGCCCCUGCGGGUCCCGGGGCAAAUUUCCCCACUUAACCCCCCCUCUGGGUGGCCCUGGCCUCUCGGGGUUUUCUGCAGUUUCAUACUGGAGAUCUGAGCAGUCAUAUUGUUCUCUUAUGUAAAAUGCAAUUCUCCUCACCUUUUCUACCUUGCCUGUCCUUCCUGAACAGUUUAUUUAAACAAUUAAAGACUAGUUAGGUAUACUCUCCCCACUUCCUCCCUAUUCCCCCACACCCACACACCACUUUCCCCCAAGUUUUCUGAUUAAUUAGUGGUCUUAUGUAGUGCAACUCUUCUGACCAUCUGAGUUGGCAGCAACAAGGGCUGGGUUCAGUAUCUAGGGGUUCCGUUUCAAUAAUGCAAUGCAAAACCAUCUCGAGCCCCCACCCCGUGACCUGGGACAAUUACAUACCACCCCCUGGGUGCCUGCAAGAGGCAAUACUUCCCCUCUUGCAAGCACGGAGUCUGAGUAUGGCAAAUCCUUUUAAUAAAGAAGGGAAACAGUGCGGCAUUAUGUUGGGGAAACACCACAAACAGGAUUCAUAACACUGACCAUGAGCAAAAGACCCACCCCCAAGUAAGUUUGGCAGUGUCCUUUUCCCCUCAGGGUCUUAAGUGCAACAACCCAAAAGAUCACCCCAAAGUCCCAAAAGUCCAACACCCCAAAAGUCUCUGUCCCUGGUCAGUGCAGCCCCAGAGUUCAAAAGUUUAUCUGCAGCGUCUUAUCCCCCCAGCCUGGGUAGAAAUGGGGGGGGACGGGGCACACAGGGUGUUAAGGGACACCUUACGUGGUCCGAGGCCAACUGCCCUGCCUCUCCAUGGGGUUCUGCUGCAGCCUUCACCACGAGCCACUCCACUCCACCAGCCAUCCCAUGAACCACUCCAGCCACCCCACAAACUGCUCCGCUCUGCUUUACCCCACUCAUUGUCCCAUGGGCUACUCCAACCACCCCACAAACUGCUCAGCUUUGCCAGCUGCUGAGCAAUAUAUCUUCAGGCUCCCCCAGCACUCACUGAUCUUAGUAAUUUUAGCUGUUUAGCACUUUCAGCUUGUAGUAGGGAAGCCCUAAUACUGGUGCACCAUUGGCGCAAAAUGAAUUCAACAUAGCAGCCUGUAACUGACCCAUAAUAGAAUCAAAAUUAGCUCUGCCAUUCAAUAAUGGAAAGGGAUGGGAUGCAAUUGGUGUUUCAGGCCCUGGGAGCCACACACAUACUAUCAACUACAAAUACCCAUCCCCAACCUUUGUCAAUUCACUGGGUUUUGGAACCCAUUUCCCUUGUCUAGCGAGUGCUACUUAGCUGAUGGUGAGUCCCUCUGUCAUAAAACAGUUCCACUGGCCUUGAUUCACAUAAUCAGGGUAACAACACUUUAUUCUUCCUGCUCCAAUAACAGAGGAACUGGGGAUCUCACAGAAGCCAAAGUGACCAUUUUGGGCUGUUGUGGGCUCAUGCUAGGCGGGAGUGGGUGUGCCUAUGCAAACAAGAUCAGCCCCUGAAGUUCUUUUCCACAACUCACCACAAUUCACCACCAGAUGUCAGGGUAAAGCUCAUCCUGACUCUGCUUACGUCACUCUUUCCCCUAAAUUAAGUUUGAGAGAUCCAGCUAUGCUUUUCUUUAAAGUACUUUCUCUAUUUAUUUUGAAAUCUAGGAAGUGAUCCAUUCUAUAAUGGAACCCCAGCUAAAGCCUAUUUUAGGCCAUGAUUCCAGAAAGCACUUAUGUCCCAGUCGUGCAAAAACUUGCUCGCAUGCUGCUUAAUUUUGAGCACUAGACCCUGAGAGCGUCAGUAACUUCCUUCCUGGCUGAGAUGAUAUUUCAGAGACGUUCACCUGUACUAUGAGGUCAGUAACGAGGGGCUCUCCUCCUGCACUAUCUCUGAUGCAGCCACAUAUACUGAUUCUGAAGAGACAUGAAGUCACGCAGGAGCUGCUGAUCUGUCCUGCUCUUCCUCGGUUUCUCCCAUGCUCUUCUCAUUGACAUUCCUCAGGAUUCAGUCAAUGGAACUGUCGGUCAUUCUGUCCUUCUGCCCGUCUCCUAUAGGCUCCAGCGGCCAUUUCCCUUUCCUCUGUCCAUUCAGUGGAAUUUCAGACACUCUCCUAAUUCAUUCACCAGCUACACAGCGACUAACUGUUCUGUCAGAGCUGAGGGGAUUCCCACCCGCUACUCUGGAUAUAAUUAUACACAUCCCGCAUACCAAGGCCGGACUGUAGUUUUCCCUGAAAAUGCUUCUCUGCUCCUUCAGAACCUGCAGAUCAAUGACAGUGGAGUCUACAGCGUCACCUUCAAAGCACCACAGCAAACCAGACACAUCAUAUUAACUGUAUCUGAACCUCAUUUCAACCAUGGAAAGGCAGA